UACGUAGGGUGCGAGCGUUGUCCGGAAUUAUUGGGCGUAAAGAGCUCGUAGGCGGUUUGUCGCGUCUGCCGUGAAAGUCCGGGGCUCGACUCCGGAUCUGCGGUGGGUACGGGCAGACUAGAGUGAUGUAGGGGAGACUGGAAUUCCUGGUGUAGCGGUGAAAUGCGCAGAUAUCAGGAGGAACACCGAUGGCGAAGGCAGGUCUCUGGGCAUUAACUGACGCUGAGGAGCGAAAGCGUGGGGAGCGAACAGG
rnacentral:rRNA from 1 species